AUUUUAUAGGUUCUUUUCAUACAAACAAAUUAAGUUGGCUACAGAUUUUGACUCAUUUACAACAUUUGGAUAAUUAAGGAGUAGAUCAUCAGACCAAGAGCUACAAUAUUCUUUGCAUCAUAUGGAUGGCCUUAUGUUUGUUUAGAUUGUUCAAUAAUUUAAAACUUUUGUAAUAAUUGUGUAUUGGUUCUUCUUCAUGCAAUGACGAAGUAUGACGCCAGAACUCUCUUACGUUAUGAAAAAGUUUUGCACAUUGUGCUAAGAAGAAUCCUAGAAAGGCAGAAACAAUUCCUUCUCCAUUUGCAUGUUUCUCUUCUCGGUCAUCAUGUUACAUGUGCACACACUCGUUACAUUACCUAUGCUGUUAUACCCUUACGCACAAACGUACAUGCGCUUAUCCGAUAGCAUUCAAUUCAGGUCGCUAGAGCAUUGCAUGGUGCGAUCGACUUGUCACUGCUUCUCCUGGCCUCCCUCGUCGCGAUUACUCUCAUCGUCAGUAGAGCGCGCUGUGAUCACCGCUUAGUAUCCUUGGAACAGAGGCGGCGGUGGCGACGCAUACUGCUGCGCCAUGAUUGGUGGCAAGAUGAACUCCUCAGGUGCCGACGGUGGAGGUGGGGAGCUUACAAGUGGCGGUGGUGGCGGGGGCUUCACCAGUGGAGGUGGAGAUCUUCUCGAAGUUGGUGGUGCAGGUGAUUUGAACUGUGGCGGUGGGGAUUUUGCAAAUGGGGGUGCUGAGCUCACGGGAACUGGCGGGGGAGGUGAGCUAACUGGUGCCGGUGGUGGAAGGAUUUUCACAGGAGGCGGUGGUGAGCUAACUGGAGCCGGUGGAGGAGGUGAGUUUGCUUGUGGUGGGGGAGGCGAGCUAAUAGGUGCUGGUGCUGGUGCGGGUGCGGGUGGAGAUUUCACUGAUGGUGGCGGCGACGGCUGUGGGCUCACUGGCUGUGGUGCUGGGGACUUCUUUGGUGGUUGGUUCUCCGGUGAUGGCGCUGGUGGCAACGGAUGUGGACUAACGUCUGGUGGCCUAGGAACCUUCUUCGCUGGUGGCGCAGGCAUCUUGGAACAGACGUUCGUGCGGCAGUCGACGGGGUGCGCGAGCACAAGCGCGCACUCAGGCAACGGCUUCUGCCCCGGGCGUCCGCCAUCGAGGCAGUUGCCGCUAUCGUCCAGCGCCACCGGCGAGUCCUCGGACGGCACGCACGCCUCUGCCUCGACGCUGAAGAAGUUGUGCGCGAAGCUGAAGUUGGCGAGAGCCGGGAGCUUGCACACGUUCUCCGCCACGGCGCCGGCGAGCUGGUUCCGCGACACGUCCAGCUGCUCCAGCCUGAUCAUGUUGACGAGCCCCUCCGGCAGCGUGCCAACGAGCGCGUUCCCGCUGACGUCCACCACCGUGGAGUUGACGAGCUCAGCAAGUUCAGGCGGGAUGCAGCCGUCGAGGCGGUUGUUGAGAAGCAUGAGUUCGUCGAGCGUGUCGGCCAUGCGGCCAACGCUGCGAGGGAUGCAUCCGAUGAAGGCGUUGUUUGCGAGCACCACCACGGUGGCCGUCGAGUUGCCGAAAUUCUCCGGGAUGAACCCGACGAAGCGGUUGCUGUUGACGAAGAUAGCGUCAAGGUCCUUGUCGAAGAGGUGCGGCGGCAGGGUGCCGUCGAAGUCGUUGAACCGGAGGUCGAGGUACUUGAGCACGGGGAUCUGCAGUACGACGUCCGGGAACCCGCCGACGAAGCGGUUGUUGCUGACGUCGAGCUCGUGGAGGAGCGUGAGGCGGCUGAAGCUCUUGGGGAUGAUGCCGCAGAAGCGGUUGGAGUUAAUGUGGAAGAAGGCGAUAUCGGUGAGCAUGCCGAGCUCCGCGGGGAGGUAACCCGCGAUGUCGCCGCCGUUGAGGUCGAUGCCCGCGACGACGGUGGUGUUAGCGUCGUCGAGUGCCGGGACGCACGUGACGCCGAAGUAGGAGCACACGUCGGCUCCUACCCAGCCGCCGGUGAAGUUCUUGGGGUCGGAGUACAUGGCGCGGCGCCAGGCCUGGAGCGCGACGUACGCGCGGCGCAGGCGCUCGUUGGCGAAGGUGACGUCCACGUGGAUGUCGAACUCGAAGUCGUCGGGGAGGUCGCCGUCGCCCUCCCGAAGGGAAAGCAGCUGCCGCCGUGCAAUGUCGGACGCCUCGGCGUCGGAGAGCGCGGCCGCCGCGGUCGCCGCGAGCAGAAUGGCGGCGAGGUAUACGAGAACGAGGCUGCCGUUCCGGCAGCGGCGCAGGCGAACCACCGCGGCCUCCAUUGUUGGCGGGGAAGGGGCAGUGUGGGAGGCCACCCCUUGCAGGGCUUCCUA
rnacentral:misc_RNA from 1 species